CUGGCUCAGGAUGAACGCUGGCGGCGUGCCUAACACAUGCAAGUCGAACGGAGAUUUAACGCUGAUGAGGCUUCGGCGGAAUCUUGUUAAAUCUUAGUGGCGGACGGGUGAGUAACGCGUGGGCAACCUGCCUCGUACUGGGGGAUAACAGUUGGAAACGACUGUUAAUACCGCAUAAGCGCACGGUGUCGCAUGACACAGUGUGAAAAACUCCGGUGGUACGAGAUGGGCCCGCGUCAGAUUAGCCAGUUGGUGGGGUAACGGCCUACCAAAGCAACGAUCUGUAGCCGGACUGAGAGGUCGGACGGCCACAUUGGGACUGAGACACGGCCCAAACUCCUACGGGAGGCAGCAGUGGGGGAUAUUGCACAAUGGGCGAAAGCCUGAUGCAGCGACGCCCGCGUGAGUGAAGAAGUAUUUCGGUAUGUAAAGCUCUAUCAGCAGGGAAGAAAGACCCGCAAGGGGGAUGACGGUACCUGACUAAGAAGCCCCGGCUAACUACGUGCCAGCCGCUGC
rnacentral:rRNA from 1 species